CACCCAUUCCCUUCAGCUUUUUAUACAGCUAGCCACUCCUCAAUCUUACGGUGCAGCUGAAAGGUCUCAACUCAAAACGUCAACUGUCCAUUUCCCUCCACAGAUGCUGCCUGACGUGUUGAGUUCCUCCAGCACCGUGGUUAUUGUCCCUCAUAAUCUCAGUGGCCUUAAGUGUGGACGUCUAAUUAUUUAGUGAUACUGAUUAUUUAGGCCCUUCAAGCCACAUUGUGCCCAGCAACACUGGAAUUUAGAAGGAUGAGAGGGGAUCUGAUUGAAACAUAGAAGAUUAUUAAAGGAUUGGACAUGCUAGAGGCAGGAAACAUGUUCCCGAUGUUCAGGGAGUCCAGAACUACAGGCUACAGUUUAAGAAUAAGGGGUAGGCCAUUUAGAACGGAGUUGAGGAAAAACUUUUUCUCCCAGAGGGUUAUGGAUCUAUGGAAUGCUCUGCCUCAGAGGGCAAUGGAGGUCAAUGCUCUGGAUGAUUUCAAGAAAGAGUUAGAUAGAGCUCAUAAAGAUAGUGGAGUCAAGGGAUAUGGGGAGAAGGCAGAAAUGGGGUACUGAUUGUGGAUGAUCAGCCAUGAUCACAGUGAAUGGUGGUGCUAGCUUGAAGGGCCGAAUGGUCUACUCCUGCACCGAUUGUCUAUUGUCUAUUAUCAAUCCCACCCCAAUUAGCCCUACCCUAAUCAUGGGACAAUUUACAAUGACCAAUUAACAUACAUGGCACGCCUUUGGACUGUGGGAGGAAGAUGGAGGACCUGGGGGAAAUCCCAUACAUUCAUGGGGAGGACAUAUAAUAGAAAUUCCCUACAGAAUGGUGCCAGAGUUGAAGUCCAAACUCUGGAAUUCCCCGAGCUGUAGUAGCUAUAACUUGGGACAGCCCCUUUCCCUUAGCCAAGAAGUUGAUGAUCAUGGGUUAUUAGCUAAUGGUGGAAGGAUUAGAGGGGAGAUGAAAAAAGGAUUUCUUCAACCAGUUAAGCUCUGGAAUCUGUGCUGGGUGGUAGGUACCAAGGGUGGUAGGGGCAGACGUCCUGUCCCACCACAUUUAGGAUGUUUUUGUGUGAAGUCGGAGAUGUGACCUGCAGAGCCUUGGUACAGUCACCGGAUAGUGGGAUGAGAAUGGUGGCUCUAUUUUGACCAGCAACUGGUCUUUGCUUCUGUGUCCUUGAGUUUUCCAUGAAUGGGAAAGGUGCAAGGGAAAGUAACUAGUAUGGAUCGGUGGAGCAGAAAGGUCUAAUUCAUUGAUGGUUUUUGUGUUAGUUUAUUGUUGUCACAUGUACCGAGACACAGGGAAAAGGUCAUCUCACAUAGAUCAUUACACAGUGCAUUGAGCUAGAGUAUGUAAACAAUAACAACACAGAAUAAAGUGUAACAGCAAGGGGAAAAGUGCAGGUAACUGGUAAAAUGCAAGAUCAUUUUGAGUUUGAUUAUGAGACCAAAAGUCAAGCUUAUUGUACAAGAGUCCGACAAGGCUGUCCUCGACCCUGGUGGAACGCACUUCCAGGCUUUUGUAUCUUCUGCCCAGUGGAAGAGGGGAGAAGAAAGAAUGCUCAAGCUGCUGCCCGGCCUGCUGAGUUCCUCCAGCACUUUGUGGGUGUUGCAUCUGAAUAAAGUUGCCAAACAUUCUGAAGGAGGAUGCUGACAGAAACAUGUUGCCUUGGAGACUUCCUUCAAAGGACGCUCGUCUGCUCGAGCUACUUUCAACAUAAAUAUAUUCAAUCAUAAUGGGAGAGAAACACA